AUGCAAACAGUUUUAAGGGGGGGAAAUGCACACUGGGUCUCCAGCCUUUUCUUUUGCUGUUUGUGUUUUCCGUUACUGCUUUGUUGUGAUAAUUUUCUAUUUCACAGUUGCAGGUUUAUGAGUGACCAAAAGUUCUUCUUCACAACACUGAGCCAGCAGGGAGUGGGGCAAAGAUGCCAAUANNNNNNNCCCUCUGGGAAUCUGCUACCUACUAGGUGGUCAGCAUUGCUUCAUAGAGAAAGGAUUGUAGCACAGUGCAAAAACUGGAUUCCUUUUCUCUUGUUUCUUUUGAAAUCUCCAAGAACAAAGUACAUUGGUCUGGAACCAGCAGGAAAUUUAGUUUGUUUGAGAAGACUUUGUACAUGCAUAAAGGUUGUGGUUCAGUGUUUAUGUACCAUGUAGGAUUUUCCAGCUUCAAUCUCUCUGUGUCCAAUUUCCAGUUAUACUCCAAAGUAGCAAAUCUGUGGGAGUUGUUACAGAGGAGUGAUACACCAAAGUACAGUGGUGCCUCCAUUUACGACCAUAAUCCAUUCCAGAAAAUGGAAAUAAGUCGAAAUGGUCAUAAGCCGAAGCACCAUUUCCCAUAGGAAUGCAUUGAAACCCCAUUAAUCCGUUCCAGCAAAAGAAAAAAAAAUUACCAAAAAUAUCACUGCAAGACUCAUUGGAAACACAAGUAAUCCCUUCCGGCCAAAGGUGGUGGGGGGGAGAAAAUCAAUCAAGCGUGCAAGACCCAUUGCAAAUGCACAGAAAACAAACGGAGCUGAUUGGAAACACACAGAGAAGGGACAGGGUUGGUAAUGCAAAGAAAACAAAGGAAAAAUAAGGGAAGCAUGCAGAACCCAUCAGAAAUGGGGGGAAAACCCAAAAAAAGCAACCAAACCCCCCAAGAUCCAUCGGAAAUGAGGGGGGGAACCAACCAACAAACAAACCCCCAAGACGCAUCACAGCACAGAAACAUAACCCCCCAGCCUAAAACCGCGCUGCAAAAACACAGUUUUUUAAAAGCAGAAAACAGCACCUUGCCUUACCUAACAGGCAGUCCCAAGCCUGCCUACAAACACACACAUGCUCACUGAGAAGCUCACUCUAACACUGGGAGCGAAAGAGCUACAAAGAAGCAGCCUCUUUCUGCCACCUACAGUUAGCAAUUUGAAUUUCUCACCUUUUUCCCCUGCCUUUUUCUGUUUGUAAGUGGAAGCUCCAGUCACAAGUAGAAGCAAAAUUUUGCAGCCAGAGCUGGUUGUAAGUUGAAUUGGUCGUAGGUAGGGACGUUCAUAAAUGGAGGCACCAUUGUAUCAAUGAUCUUAGCUUGAUGGUCCAAAAGGGCCGUAGAUUUAUGGAUUGGAGUAGUGAGAGAAAUAUGACUUGAAAGUAAGUGAAGAUGGAUCAUUGUUGAAGAUGUGUUUCUUUGAACCCUUUCCCUUUCCCAUUAGUCUGUAAUGAGAGAAUGGUAAUGCUUAGUUCAAGCUUUUGAAGAAGGGAUAGAAUGUAGCUUCCCAUUUUCAAGAAAUAAAUUUCUGAGAACAUUAAACGGGAACA
rnacentral:lncRNA from 1 species